rnacentral:ncRNA from 1 species
AAUGAAAAAGCCAAACCUGCCGUGAGACAGGGACGGAAAGCCACGGGUCUCAAAUGAGAAAGCCGGGUUGCCAA